rnacentral:rRNA from 1 species
UACGUAGGUGGCAAGCGUUGUCCGGAAUUAUUGGGCGUAAAGCGCGCGCAGGCGGUCCUUUAAGUCUGAUGUGAAGGCCCACGGCUCAACCGUGGAGGGUCAUUGGAAACUGGGGGGACUUGAGUACAGAAGAGAAGAGUGGAAUUCCACGUGUAGCGGUGAAAUGCGUAGAGAUGUGGAGGAACACCAGUGGCGAAGGCGACUCUUUGGUCUGUAACUGACGCUGAGGCGCGAAAGCGUGGGGAGCAAACAGG